CACUGACAUAUGAGACAGACUUCAUAUGGAGAAUCAUCACAGCACUGGCAAACCAUGAUUGACCAACUCCCUGACCAACAUGGCUGACCUUAGGACCAUCGUAAGAAGUUUCCAACAGCCUGCCUGCUGCCUGACCUACAUACCUGUACCACCCCCGGCGUGAAGAGCCGCACUGCCCACUGCGAACACCAAGCUUGAUGGGUAAUGUGGUCUAACAUUGCUGGGCCAACAAAACCAAAUAAACUCAUGAAAGGAAAGUUACCAUAACUAAGAGGAGCACUGAACUGUUCAAAUGUCUUCCUUUCUAGAAAAAAAAGUCAGUACUAUUUUUUGGAUUUUCAAGUCCCAUUGAUUCAAAUCAGAUUCAGAGCCAAACAUAACCCAUGAUGCUAUGUUUUUUUGGAGCAAACUGAACCUUUGUAUCUGCCAAGCCUUAAGAAAAUGCUUCCCAACAAGCAAGAUCAUUCCAAUAGUUAUCUAAAAAUACUGGAUGACCUACAACAGACUGCCUGGGUAAAAUGAACCAGUUAAUUCACUACAAUUGUUUCAGUAACAGAAUACUGCAAAACCCUCAAAUUAAAAGACACAGAAGUUGCACAGGGAAGUUGUACAGGGAACACAACAUUCUCUAAAUAUUGCUUGUUGACUGCAGGAGCUGUGUCAGACAUUACAGUACCAGCACAGUGGGUAGUCUGAACACCACAUACCUAUUCCCCAGACAAGGAGCCCUAUAUCUCUUCUCCAACAUGGCAGGACAAGCAGCAGAGCAGGAAGAGUCCUGUCAUCACCAGGACUGAGAGAAGGGUGCAGGUGCACACUUAAGUGAAUUAAGAUGAUAAGCAAGUCAUUGGAUGCUUAAUUUGAGGCUGGCAUAGCAAUCAACGCUUUCUCACUACCAGUGUUAACCUUUUCAGCUGCCAGGGAUACUCUGGGUUUGACACAUAUAAGCCAUAAUAUGGUAUUACAUGGAAGUCUAGAGUCUCUAGAGAUUGAGAAAAUAAUUUCAAAUUCUCUACUUCAAUCUCUUCCUCAUAUACAGUACCAGUCAAAAGUUUGGAUACACCUACUCAUUCAAGGGUUUUUCUUUAUUUUUACAAUUUUCUACAUUGUAGAAUAGUAGUGAAGACAUGGAAACUAUAAAAUAACAUGUAUGGAACCAUGUAGUAAUGAAAAAAGUGUUAAACAAAUCUAAAUAUAUUUUAGAUUCUUCAAAGUAGCCACCCUUUGCCUUGAUGACAGCUUUGCACACUCUUGGCAUUCUUUGGGGGCUCCCGAGUGGCGCAGCGGUCUAAGGCACUGUAUAUCAAUGCUAGAGGUGUCAUUACAGACCCUGGUUUGAUCCUGGGCUGUAGCACAACCGCCGGUGAUUGGGAGUCCCAUAGUGUGAUGCACAAUUGGCCCAACAUCGUCCGGGUUAGUGUUUGGCCGUGGAAGGCCGUCAUUGUAAAUAAGAAUUUGUUCUUAAUUGACUUGCCUAGUUAAAUAAAGGUUAAAUUCUCUCAAAACAGCUUCACCUGGAAUGCUUUUCAAAGAAUUGAAGAGUUCCCACAUACACUGAGCGCUUGUUGGCUGCUUUUCCUUCACUCUGCGGUCCAACUCAUCCCAAACCAUCUCAAUUGGGUUGAGAUCGGGUGAUUGUGGAGGCCAGGUCAUCUGAUGUAGCACUCCAUCGCUCUCCUUCUUGGUCAAAUAGCUCUGGAGGUGUGCCUGGAGGUGUGUUGGGUCAUUGUCCUGUUGAAAAACACAUUUUAGUCAUGCGAAGUACAAACCAGAUGUGAUGGUGUAUCGCUGCAGAAUCCCGUGGUGGCCAUGCUGGUUAAGUGUGUUUUGAAUUCUAAAUAAAUCACUGACAGUGUCACCAGCAAAGCACCCCCACACCCCCACACCAUCACAACUCCUCUUCCAUGCUUCACGGUGGGAACCACACAUGCGGAGACCUGUUAACCUACUCUGCGUCUCACAAAGACACAGUGGUUGGAACUAAGAAUCUCAAAUUUGGACCAAAGGACAGAUUUCCACCGUUCUAAUAUCCAUUGCUUGUGUUUCUUGGCCUAAGCAAGUCUCUUAUUCUUAAUGGUGUCCUUUAGUAGUGGUUUCUUUGCAGCAAUUCAAUAAUGAAGGCCUUGUUCAUGCAGUCUCCUCUGAACAGUUGAUGCUGAGAUGUGUCUGUUACUUGAACUCAGGAGCUUUUAUUUGGGCUGCAAUCUGAGGUGCAGUUAACUCUAAUGAACUUAUCCUCUGCAGCAGAGUUAACUCUUUGUUUUCCUUUCCUGUGUCAGUCC
ensembl:lncRNA